rnacentral:rRNA from 1 species
AUUGAACGCUGGCGGCGUGCUUAACACAUGCAAGUCGAGCGGGAACAGGCGUAGCAAUACGUGCUGACGAGCGGCGAACGGGUGCGUAAUACAUGGGAAUCUGCCCUUUGGUGGGGAAUAACCCGGCGAAAGCCGGGCUAAUGCCGCAUGAGAUCUUCGGAUGAAAGCGGGGGAUCGUAAGACCUCGCGCCGAUGGAUGAGCCCAUGUCGGAUUAGCUAGUUGGUGAGGUAACGGCUCACCAAGGCGACGAUCCGUAGCUGGUCUGAGAGGACGGCCAGCCACACUGGGACUGAGACACGGCCCAGACUCCUACGGGAGGCAGCAGUGGGGAAUAUUGGACAACGGGGGAAACCCUGAUCCAGCGACGCCGCGUGUGUGAAGAAGGCCUGCGGGUUGUAAAGCACUUUCGAUGGGAACGAAAUGUGCCGGGCUAAUACCCCGGCAAGCUGACGUUACUCAAUGAAGAAGCACCGGCUAACUCUGUGCCAGCAGCCGCCGUAAUAC